GUGAGGAAUAUUGCGCAAUGGAGGCAACUCUGACGCAGCCAUGCCGCGUGCAGGAAGAAGGCGCUACGCGUUGUAAACUGCUUUUAACCGGGAAGAAACCCCAGGACGUGUCCUGGGUUGACGGUACCGGAGGAAUAAGCACCGGCUAACUUCGUGCCAGCAGCCGCGGUAAUACGAAGGGUGCAAGCGUUAUCCGGAUUCAUUGGGUUUAAAGGGUGCGUAGGCGGAGCGUUAAGUCAGUGGUGAAAUCCUGCAGCUUAACUGUAGACUGGCCAUUGAUACUGGCGCUCUUGAGUGCGCUUGAAGUGGGCGGAAUGUGACGUGUAGCGGUGAAAUGCUUAGAUAUGGCACAGAACACCAAUUGCGAAGGCAGCUCACUAAGGCGAUACUGACGCUGAGGCACGAAAGCGUGGGGAUCGAACAGGAUUAGAUACCCGAGUAGUCC
rnacentral:rRNA from 1 species